ACUUGUGCCCAGAGUUUGAUUUUCCACAGACCAGGUAGAGGCCAAGAGCCUCUCACAGACUCUGCAGCAGGGUUGCUAUGAUUAACUCUUAAGUACUCCACAACUACACGCUUUUGAAACUGGCGUUGGCAUAGCGUUAGUUCUGUGCAGGGCGGACGCAGCAGGACAGAAUCUCCCUGGGCAUCUUUUCGGAGCAUCAAUUUUACUGCAAAAUUUUGAAAAAACAAAUUUAAUUGAUUUCCAAGGUUUGUCAAGGAGGACAGAAACUCAGAGCACCCUGCACUUGGGGAUCGGCACUAGGAGCUGCUCUCUGGAUGGGGAGAUGGGAGCUAGCAGCUCACAAUGGGGUCACAAGACAGGAGUGUUAUUGGGAGAAUCCUGUUUUGUUGACAAAUACUGAGAUCAUCCAACUCACCAGGCAAAGUUGACUUGUGUAAGUGAUCUUCAGAUAUGAAAAGUGUGGAACCCAGCUGCUCCUCCUCAGAUAGGCGACAUGACAAUUGUAGGCCUGGAGGGAGAUGAGUUGACAACAUCCCUUCCCUAUAACCACUUGUUGGAUCUGAUCUCACAUACACAGACUCACUCCAAAGACUGACCUGGGUGUCUGCUUCUCAGCUUCAUUAACAGUGGGUGCUCACAAGUCUAGUGGAGAGAAUGUCUGAGAAGAGGAGGACCUUGACUGCUCCUGAACCGGAGACCUCAGAACCAUGGUGCUCUCCUGUCCAGGCUGAACACUAAUGCUCUUGAGAGUCACAUUGAAGAAAGCCAACAUUUUUAAAUCUAAUGGAUACAUUCAUUUUGUGUAGUAACAGGAUCUUCUACACUGUAGCUGCUUCCAGUGUGAGCCAGACAAAUGUACUGAAUAUAGGUAAGUACUGCUCAGUUUUCUCCAUGAGCUUCAUCCUCAGGGCCACGUUUCUUAUUCUGACAACACUUAGGGAUGCUUUCCUGGUAGGAAUACUGCUGUUCUUAAUUGCAUACAUGGUGACUCUCUUAUUCAGGCCUCAGAGGUGAUCCCACCACCUUCACAGCAAUGGUCCUUCCCCAGGAGCUUCCCCUGAGAAACGGGCCAUCCAGACCAUACUGCUGCUGAAUAAUGUCUCAUUGGAAAUCUCAACAUUCUUCAUUUAGAACACCACCGCCAAUAUCUACCAUAUGCCGGGAUUAUUGUGCAGGGUAAUUUUUAUUAUUACUUGAAUGUAUAUUUAUAUACUGCAGGAACUAUACAUGUUUAUGGCUAGAAUUACUGUUUUUCCUUAAUAUUAAGAUAGUAUUGGUAGAUUUAAUUAUCUGAAUUUAGUCAUUUGGCUCCAGUCAAAAUGGUUUCUCCUUAGCAGUACUCUGACUUUGUAAAAGUAAUCACAUUUGGAUUCUGUUUCCUCCAGUAGUUUUUAAAAUGAUUUUUUUGAUUAUUCAUAUAACUUUUUUUUAAUGAUCUUUUAAAAACUAGUAUGUGGUUAUAUAUUACUUGUUACACUUUUUGUUUUCUUUAUUUUUUGGUUGGUUACACCUUAAAUGAUUAUUUCUAUUGCCUUUUAAUGUUACUUAGAAAAUAUCACAUGUAAGACUUUUGCUUUUAUAAAGUUAGUAAUACAUUUUCAAGCCUAAACUCUUGAAAUUUUAAUAAUUUCUAUGAUAUUUGAAAAUUAUUUUUAUCUUCUUUUGAGUGCUAAAAGAUAAUAUUUGUCUACCUGAUUAACUAGCACAACUUUUAAAAAGUUAUUUAGCACUCUUUAUAUUCAUUCAUUUGUUUU
rnacentral:lncRNA from 1 species